GCAGAGGAACCCCAGCCCCAGGAUCCCCAGGUGACACCAUUCAACGCUCAGGGCACAACACAGACAAAACACCAUGGAGUCUGUGCUCAGCUGGGUUUUCCUUGUCACUAUUUUAAAAGGUGUCCAGGGUGAGGUGCAGCUGGUGGAGUCUGGGGGAGACCUUGUGAAGCCUGAGGGGUCCCUGAGACUCUCCUGUGUGGCCUCUGGAUUCACCUUCAGUAGCUUCUACAUGAGCUGGUUCCGCCAGGCUCCAGGGAAGGGGCUACAGUGGGUUGCAGAAAUUAGUGGUAGUGGAAGUAGCCCAAGCUACGCAGACGCUGUGAAGGGCCGAUUCACCAUCUCCAGAGACAACGCCAAGAACACGCUGUAUCUACGGAUGAACAGCCUGAGAGCCGAGGACACGGCUGUAUAUUACUGUGCAAGGUACACAGUGAGGGGACCUCAGUGUGUGCCCAGACACAAACUUCCCUGUAGAAGGGGAUCAGUACCACCAGGGGGUGUGCACUCCUCACCACUUUUGUCUUGA